rnacentral:rRNA from 1 species
GAUUAUGACGUACUUGUACUGAUUGAGAUUUUAACACGAAGUGAGUGGCGAACGGGUGAGUAACACGUGGGUAACCUGCCCAGAAGUAGGGGAUAACACCUGGAAACAGAUGCUAAUACCGUAUAACAGAGAAAACCGCAUGGUUUUCUUUUAAAAGAUGGCUCUGCUAUCACUUCUGGAUGGACCCGCGGCGUAUUAGCUAGUUGGUGAGGUAAAGGCUCACCAAGGCAGUGAUACGUAGCCGACCUGAGAGGGUAAUCGGCCACAUUGGGACUGAGACACGGCCCAGACUCCUACGGGAGGCAGCAGUAGGGAAUCUUCCACAAUGGACGCAAGUCUGAUGGAGCAACGCCGCGUGAGUGAAGAAGGGUUUCGGCUCGUAAAGCUCUGUUGUUAAAGAAGAACGUGGGUAAGAGUAACUGUUUACCCAGUGACGGUAUUUAACCAGAAAGCCACGGCUAACUACGUGCCAGCAGCCGCGGUAAUACGUAGGUGGCAAGCGUUAUCCGGAUUUAUUGGGCGUAAAGCGAGCGCAGGCGGUCUUUUAAGUCUAAUGUGAAAGCCUUCGGCUCAACCGAAGAAGUGCAUUGGAAACUGGGAGACUUGAGUGCAGAAGAGGACAGUGGAACUCCUGGGUGAAGGC